CAGUAGCCGCGGUAAUACGAAGGGUGCAAGCGUUACUCGGAAUUACUGGGCGUAAAGCGUGCGUAGGUGGUGGUUUAAGUCCGUUGUGAAAGCCCUGGGCUCAACCUGGGAAUUGCAGUGGAUACUGGGUCACUAGAGUGUGGUAGAGGAUAGUGGAAUUUCCGGUGUAGCAGUGAAAUGCGUAGAGAUCGGAAGGAACAUCUGUGGCGAAGGCGACUAUCUGGACCAACACUGACACUGAGGCACGAAAGCGUGGGGAGCAAACAGGAUUAGAGACCCCUGUAGUCCCUGUCUCUUAUAC
rnacentral:rRNA from 1 species